rnacentral:rRNA from 1 species
GACGAACGCUGGCGGCGUGCCUAACACAUGCAAGUCGAACGGAGUAACUUCUUCGGAGAUUACUUAGUGGCGAACGGGUGAGUAACGCGUGAGAAACCUGCCUUUCAGUGGGGGACAACAGUUGGAAACGACUGCUAAUACCGCAUAAUGUUAUUUGGGGGCAUCCCUGAAUAACCAAAGCUUUAUGUGCUGAAAGAUGGUCUCGCGUCUGAUUAGCUAGAUGGCGGGGUAACGGCCCACCAUGGCGACGAUCAGUAGCCGGUCUGAGAGGAUGAACGGCCACAGUGGGACUGAGAUACGGCCCAGACUCCUACGGGAGGCAGCAGUGGGGAAUAUUGGGCAAUGGGGGAAACCCUGACCCAGCAACGCCGCGUGAAGGAAGAAGGCCUUCGGGUUGUAAACUUCUUUUACCAGGGACGAAGAACGUGACGGUACCUGGAGAAAAAGCAACGGCUAACUACGUGCCAGCAGCCGCCGUAAAAC